AUUGAACGCUGGCGGCAGGCCUAACACAUGCAAGUCGAGCGGUUGAGGUAGCUUGCUACCGAUGCAGCGGCGAACGGGUGAGUAAUACAUGGGAAUCUGCCUGGUAGUAGGGGACAACGUUUCGAAAGGAACGCUAAUACCGCAUACGCCCUACGGGGGAAAGGGGGGGAUCGCAAGACCUCUCGCUAUCAGAUGAGCCCAUGUCAGAUUAGCUAGUUGGUGAGGUAAAGGCUCACCAAGGCGACGAUCUGUAACUGGUCUGAGAGGAUGAUCAGUCACACUGGAACUGAGACACGGUCCAGACUCCUACGGGAGGCAGCAGUGGGGAAUAUUGGACAAUGGGGGCAACCCUGAUCCAGCCAUGCCGCGUGUGUGAAGAAGGCCUUAGGGUUGUAAAGCACUUUCAGUGGGGAGAAAGGUGAUUCACCUAAUACGUGAGUCAAUUGAUGCUACCCACAGAAGAAGCACCGGCUAACUCCGUGCCAGCAGCCGCCGUAA
rnacentral:rRNA from 1 species